rnacentral:rRNA from 1 species
GUUUUUUAGAUUUUUUUUUAAAGAUUUAAUCUGCCCAAUGAUUUUUAAAUGGCUGCGGUAAUUUGACUGUACAAAGGUAGCAUAAUAAUUAGUCUUUUAAUUGGAGUCUGGAAUGAAUGAUUGGAUGAGAAAUUUACUUUCUUUAUUAUAUUUAUUAUAAUUUGAUUUUUUAGUGAGAAAGCUUAAAUUUUUUUUUGGGACGAUAAGACCCUAUAGAGCUUUAAUUUUUUUUUAUUUAAAUAUUUUUAGAUUUUAUAAUUUUUUAUUAUUAAUAAAUUUUGGUUGGGGUGAUAGUUAAAAUUUUUUUGUCUUUAAUUUUUUUAUUUACUAAUAAGUGAUUUUUUUGAUCCUAUUUUUAUUGAUUGAAAGAUAAAGUUACCUUAGGGAUAACAGCGUAAUUUAUUUGUAGAGUUCAUAUCGAUGAAUAAGUUUGCGACCUCGAUGUUGGAUUAAGAAUAGAAAAGGGUGAAGGUUUUUUUUAUCUAGGUCUGUUC